GACAGUUUGAAACCAGCUUUUCAACAAUGGACUUGUGUGGAAGAAGCCAGCUGGGCUGGCCAAUGGACUCUGACCUCACAAACUCAAAAUCUUCAAAGCUGAUCAUGAUAACUCUGCAGAAAACAAACAGUCCCAGCUAAGAGCAAGGCAAAAAAUGAGGCAGUUCUGCCAGCAACCAGCAGAUGGCAAAAGGGGACACCCAGACUGUGUUCCCCAACUCUCCCAAACUGCUUCUCAACCACUCAUUGUGAGAUAAACCACAAAACAUUCAUUUUGUAGGUUUUCAGUUUUGCUUAUAAAUCAAGAUGAGGCAAUAGAUAAGAGUCAUGGAAAAAGACAAGAAAACAGACGAGUCAGUUCCCUGAGUGGAUGGCCUCUGAUUCUGCCUUGAUGAUGAAGCGGAAGUGUUCAACAUUUACCUGCUAAGAAGCUUAUGACGAUGUACGUUCCACAAAGGAAUGUAAACAGCAAUAACCAGAUGUGGAAUAACAAUGCCAAGCUCUUCCAUUCCAGCUUUAACUGUAACCUCUUUUUUAAGUUCAUUUAAUAAAGGCAAA